GAGGGUUUUAAGCUGUCGCUGCUAACGACGGGAAGGGUUUGAGUACCCAACCUUCU
rnacentral:tRNA from 1 species